rnacentral:rRNA from 1 species
CGUCAAGUCCUCAUGGCCCUUAUGGGUAGGGCUUCACACGUCAUACAAUGGUCGGUACAGAGGGUUGCCAAGCCGCGAGGUGGAGCCAAUCCCACAAAGCCGAUCGUAGUCCGGAUUGUUCUCUGCAACUCGAGAGCAUGAAGUCGGAAUCGCUAGUAAUCGCAGGUCAGCAUACUGCGGUGAAUACGUUCCCGGGUCUU